rnacentral:lncRNA from 1 species
AUCACUUGAAUGCCAACCAGGGAGACUGGUGCCUUAGAGACCCACAAAGGGCAGAGUUUUCUGCAUCUUGUUACAGAUACAACUCUGAAUCCUAUGAGGAAUGAAGGGAAUUAUAACUUUAAACUGAGCGAGGUAUCGAUUGAAUUCUCGUCACAGAACACACUCAGUUGUUUCAGAAACAAUGAAAGAUAGAUUCAGUCUUCAAAAGGAAAGUGUUAUGCUAAGGAAGAUUAAAAUGUAAAGAAACUACUAUACUACAAAGCAAGAUUUAAGAAAAGUCACAUUUUAAAUAAUGGGCAAGGAGCAGUUUACUCAAAAGAUCAUGGUAAGUACAUUGGUAAUGAUAGUGUAAACCUUAAGUUUUUUCUGAAAUUAUAUUGUGUUUGUGUUUAACAUUUGUGUGAAUAUCUGUUGCAUAUGAAUGAACAUGAGCAAGUCUUUUCAAGUUCCUAUCAUUUUAAACAAGGUAGUCUACUUUCAACACUUUAUAAAUAGUUGUAAUUUUAGGAUACAAACAUACAUAACAUAAUUAGGAGAACUAAAAGUCAAUAUGUAAAAUUACAUUAUUUAAAAAAAAACAGGAAUAAUGUAAAAUUCUUUGGUUGUGAAAUUCAAUUAAUAUUUUAUUAAUUACAUGAAGAAAGCCAGAGGUAUUUUAACCAAACCACAUAGGACAAAGAGAAAAUUUGGGAAAUAAUGAAAAAUGUUACAACUGAAUAAUAGUAACCACAAAAGCAAAAUUAGCAAGAAAAUAUGUCUAGCUGCUCCAGAGAAAAUUGUAUGGAUGAUGUAAAGCACAUAGUACUGUGGUCUACACAUCUUAGACAAGUGAAAUUUAAAUUCACAAAGAAACAAGAGGAAAUAAAGAAAGUAAUUGCAUUCA